GUACACUUCCACAUUUCAUCAGUUCUAAUUCCAACAGUGAAGAAGUUUCUAUCCUCUCAAAUUAUAGCAGCCUAAUAUGAUUUACACAAACAUCUUAUGUACCAUUAGGCUUACACAAUGCAAAGUAUUUAUUAUCUGAGCUAGGAUACUGCAUUUGUCACUUUGCAAAUGAGUUUUAAAGUAGUUGCCCAAUUGCUGGCUUGAACUGGAUGAUUGAAUCUUAAGAAAAGUUAGGACAACAUAGAAGAAUUGUUGAAGAUACUCAAAACUGGCAAGGGGCUGGAUGUGGUGGCUCGUGCCUAUAAUCCCAGCACUUUGGGAGGCCCAAGGCAGGAGAAU
rnacentral:lncRNA from 1 species